UAUGGCCUCAGGAUGAACGCUAGCGACAGGCUUAACACAUGCAAGUCGAGGGGCAGCACGGGAGUAGCAAUACUUGGUGGCGACCGGCGCACGGGUGAGUAACGCGUAUGCAACCUACCUAUCAGAGGGGAAUAACCCGGCGAAAGUCGGACUAAUACCGCAUAAAACAGGGGCACCGCAUGGUGAUAUUUGUUAAAGAAAUUCGCUGAUAGAUGGGCAUGCGUUCCAUUAGGUAGUUGGUGAGGUAACGGCUCACCAAGCCGACGAUGGAUAGGGGAACUGAGAGGUUGGUCCCCCACACUGGUACUGAGACACGGACCAGACUCCUACGGGAGGCAGCAGUGAGGAAUAUUGGUCAAUGGGCGGGAGCCUGAACCAGCCAAGUCGCGUGAAGGAAGAAGGAUCUAUGGUUCGUAAACUUCUUUUGCAGGGGAAUAAAGUGCAGGACGUGUCCUGUUUUGUAUGUACCCUGAGAAUAAGGAUCGGCUAACUCCGUGCCAGCCGCCGC
rnacentral:rRNA from 1 species